AUGUUCCUUGGGUACCUCAUCCUAGCUGCCUUCCUGAGGAAACCACUGGGAACAAUGGGACAGACACAGCAAGAAGGACAAGUCACAGUAAAGGAGAAAGACACUUUCCAGACCACCUGCACUUACCAGAGUACCAGUUUUGAUGCCAUAGUUUGGUACCAGCAAAGGAAAGACCAAGCCCCACAGUUCAUCUCAUAUCAGGCACUUGCUGGCUCCAAGAAGAGUGGCCGUUUCACCACUUGGCUGAACACCACAGGGAAAUACAGCCUCCUGAAGCUGCAGGAGGUCGAGCUGUCUGACAGUGCCUUGUACCUCUGUGCUGGACAAGACACCCUGGUGCAGGAAGCUGCCUCAGCUGUGCAAUAACGCAGGCAGGGAGGGUUUGAGGGGAGGAUGUACGAUCAUCUUCAGCUCCUAAACAGAGUGAUGUGGUAGUGAUGAGUUCCUCUGGCAACAAGGGACUCCACGUCUGGGACAUAACACAAAACACGAGUUUGU